CCUACGGGAGGCAGCAGUGGGGAAUAUUGGUCAAUGGAGGAAACUCUGACCCAGCAACGCCGCGUGAAUGAUGAAGGUCUUCGGAUUUUAAAGUUCUUUUCUAAGGGAAGUAGAAAGUGACGGUACCUUAGGACUAAGCAUCGGCUAACUACGUGCCAGCAGCCGCGGUAAUACGUAGUAGGCGAGCGUUAUCCGGAAUGACUGGGCGUAAAGGGUGCGUAGGUGGUUUGGCAAGUUAGUAGCGUAACUCCAAGGCUCAACCUUGGAACUACUACUAAUACUGUUGUACUAGAGUGCAGGAGGGGCAACCGGAAUGCAUGGUGUAGCGGUGGAAUGCGUAGAUAUUAGGAAGAACACCAGUGGCGAAGGCGGGUUGCUAGACUAUAACUGACACUGAGGCACGAAAGCGUGGGGAGCAAACAGGAUUAGAUACCCCAGUAGUC
rnacentral:rRNA from 1 species